GCAACCCCUGUCCUAUGUUGCCAGCAUUAAGUUGGGGACUCAUAGGAGACUGCCGGCGUCAAGCCGGAGGAAGUGGGGAUGACGUCAAGUCAUCAUGCCCCUUAUGUCCUGGGCUGCACACGUGCUACAAUGGCCGGUACAAUGGGCUGCGAUGCCGCGAGGCGGAGCGAAUCCCAUAAACCGGUCCCAGUUCGGAUCGGAGGCUGCAACCCGCCUCCGUGAAGUCGGAGUUGCUAGUAAUCGCGGAUCAGCAUGCCGCGGUGAAUACGUUCCCGGGCCUU
rnacentral:rRNA from 1 species